UUUUCACCGCGUGAGCCGUUCGAUCGUGUUACUAUCGUAUGAUUUUUGCUGCUGCCGAUCGCUGGACCGUCAAUUCUUUUGCACCUUUGUGCUCGUUUCAAAGGUGGAUGACUGAUGGGCCUCGUUAAGUGUAGGUCCAGAGAAUGAUGUGAACUUGCUCUGGUUUUACGUAGCUGAAUUAUGAGAUGUCCGGGCUGCGCGGUGAAAACCUAAUCCCCAAUCCCAGCCCGUCCUCGAGCCCCACAUUCCCUCCCCUCCCCUUUCGCGUCGUCGCCGCCGCCUUUCCCUGCUCUCCAGUCUCCGCCACCACCACGCCCCUUGCUUCCCCUUCGCUUUUAUCCUCCUCUCGAUCCGGCGCUGGCACACACGGUGGUUAUGGAUGGGCCGUUGGUUGCCUUCAUGGGAGAGUGCGGCCUUUGAGGUCUUCAGCGUGGGUGUGGAGGAGCGGGAAGAGGUGAGGAUGAUGACAACGUGGGAAAAAAGCAGCCAGAUCAAAGCUCCCGUCGCCGCUCACGUUGCCAAGGAGUGGAGGGCCGCAGUUGGCCGCAUCACAGACAAGCGAGGACAAGGACAACGCCUGGAUUCGGCGAUGGCAUCAUCCAUCAUGAGAGGCCUGGGCCUCCUCCACGGACAAGGCGGCGGCGGACAACGCCUGGAUUCGGCGAUGGCAUCAUCCAUCAUGAGAGGCCUGGGCUUCCUCCACGGCCAAGGCGGCGGCGAUCUGAGCACCAGUUCAAGUUUUCUGAAGAAAAGCUUCAGGCUUCUGCAGUUUUCAUUCUUCACGGCGCAGAGGUUACAGAGGUCAGAUGAUGUGUGCAAGGAAGGAAAGAUGCAGACAAGCAACGCCGAAGACGUCUUCAAAGCGCUUGAUGAGAUUGAGUUCCCAGAGUUGGUAGAGCCCCUGAGGACUGCAUUGGAUGAAGCAAAGGCAGUCUGGAGCAAAACAGAGGAAACUAGAUACAGAGCCAAUGCUGUAGAGCAAAAUGAUCGAGCAAACGAAGCCAACGCGGAUGACGAUUAACUGCUCUAACCUUGUGGUAAGUUGAAUCUGAGUCACAUUAAUGGGUGAACUUUCUCGUAGUUCUUUUUCCUGGAACUAUAAGACAUGGCUGAAGAUGCCAUUUGGUAAUUUUGUAUGCUGAACCAUGAUGCUAGGCUGAAUAAUUUACUAUCUUUUGUUCGCAUGAGCUCACAUUUUGGUAGUUGCAAAACCUAAACCACGAUGCUUUCUUGCCGCUGUUGUAGUCUCUAAUUAAUGGAAUUGUGAGAGACUGUAGUUAACUUAAGUUUAUUCUGUUUCAUUAAAACAGGCGUUGAUAGCUGCAUAAGUUUAACCAUGAUGCUUUAUUUUUUUAGGGAAAACCAUAAUACUUUCUUGCUGCUGCUGUAGUCUCUAUGCGAUUCUGAGACAAUUUAGUUAAGCUAAUCUCAUCGGUUUGCACUCUCAAAAAUCACAGGAGCCAUACAGAAAAAAGUAGGGUACUAUUAGAAAUUGGCCGUGUGAUUUUCAUAUUCAGAGAAUAACACAUGUGUUGAUUAAACUGAAAAUGUAUGUUGAUGCAUGGAAAAUGUAUAUGGUGCAUUUCAUUUCUGCUCAUCCUGAUCUAACCAAACUGACCCCAUGGAUUUGAGAUUGCCGUGCCUAUCAGGUUUGGACAUGUUCUUAUUUGUACUGCUACUAAAUCACAAAACUAAUAAACUAUAUAAAUAAAAUAGCUCCCCACCUUUCCAACAACUUAUUUUAUUUUUAGAGUGAGCAACGACAUGUUAUCAUACUCCGUUUCUUGUGAGCAGUACGUCAGUUUAGAUUGGCGUAUACUCUUUGGUGCCGUGUCUAUCAGGUUUGGACAUGUUCUUAUUUGCACUAAAUCACAAAACUAAACUGUAUAAAUAAAAUAGCCCCCCUCCUUUCCAACAACUUAUUUUAUUUUUAGAGUGAGCAACGACGUGUUAUCAUACUCUGUUUCUUGUGAGCAGUACGUCAGUUUAGAUUGACGUAUACUCUUUGGUAUAUAGCAUUUUUGCCUACCUCUUACCUAUUUCACAUAGAAUAGAUGAUUUGCUUUGGCGAGGGAUUAGAUAAGGCCUAUGAGUCCUAGGUAAGCGUGAUGAGCAUGUCUUGCACUUUUAUUUACUAUUAAGCACCAACUGAAUUUCUGAUAAUGACGUUUCAGGAAUGACACAAUCAAUCCAACUGUUACCUUUUGGGUGCUUUUUGGAUGGACUAAUCUGAAGAUGUUGGCUAGCUUGCACCGCCAUCAUAUAAUCUAGAAGCAAGGGCAAGGAUUAUAGGGAAAAUAAAGGUACAAUGCUCCCAGUAUAUUUUACUUUUUGGCAAAGUUUUGGUGCUUGCGCAAGAAAGUAACACCAUCAUUAUAGGCUUAUUUUAUUUUAUCUUAGUUCAUGCACUAAUGCAUAAAUCUUUUGGUAUUGCCCUUAUUAUUUAGUCUAGAGCUAUGCAAUGACAACCAUGGCUUUAGUGUUCAGGUGAGUUCCAUUUAUAGAGUGAAGAACCCUUGGCAUCUUAUCUAAAUUCUUUGAUCCUAGAUAUUGUGUAUACCCAGUUAAGUACCUUAUACCAGUACCUUAAUUAGCCUCUUCUGACUAUUGAUUGUUUGAACUGUUGUAGUAGGACUCAGACUUUCAAUGUUAUUAGGCUUGUGGACAUGUUUUUAUUUUAGAUUGUACAGUAUUGGGUUCUUUUGGCUUCUGGUUGCUGCUGCACAAAAAGUACACUAAACUCAGAUGAUGCAUGAAAAAAACUGCAGACCUAACAUAGUUUUUGUAUUCUGAUUUUUUUGUGAUGCCCUUAUGUUAAAAUGCUUAUUUGUUCUCCAAGUAGGCCAACGACGGCUGCUAGCAAUGAUACAUACAUAUCAACAAUUCCAAGGAAGUGCAUAUGUCAGGAUGCAUAGCAUAAUAUAUAUGUUCAUUGGAAAAUACUCUUCAGCAUCUGAAACAUCUAAAGGCGAUCACUCAACUACGUAUUAUAUACAAUAUACCCCGCUCGAUGGUUGGAGCAGUCCCAGCCACUAAUUAGUACUCCAACGUUGCAUCACUCAUCUAAGUAUCAACACUACUCUUGAGACUUGCCUAUUAACAUAGUAGUGCUAGGUCCUCGUUGUUCGUUCUUACUCUCUGUUUUACGAGUCUUUGGUUUCUCUUUAUUCACAUUUCGUUUUCUAUUUUCAUUAUCACUCUGUAUUAAUUCGGUAUCUUGGUUUAUCUUUAUUUAGUCUCCACCCUCUUUCUCCCAUACUCCCUCUGUACGAAAAAGCUUGUCCCUCAAAUGAAUGUAUCUAGCAUCAAAUUAGUGCUAGAUACAUCCAUUUGAGAGACAAGCUUGAGACAAACUUUUUCGAACGGAGGGAGUACCUCUUUUUUCAUUUGUAUGUCUAAGGUAAGAAUGAGAGGCUAGAUAAACAAACAGGAAAAUGCUCACUUCAUUCAGGGGAUGCAUUCCGUCAUUGUCCAUCAACAAGUUCAACUCCGACGUUGGUUCACCGAUGUGGGCCGAUGCACCACAUCAGCAACGUCAAUGACGAAACCAUGAGGAUGUAAUCAAUAAUGUUGCUUCUGAAAAUGAAGAUGUACUUUGCCAUGCCACUACUCUCGGCAAAAUAGUAGAUCAUGGUGCCCCUUGUGCUACAGUGGAAUUGAAUCACAACAAUUCUACAGAUUCAUCAAACACCGAAGGAGGUUAGUUUUUACCUGAGCAGCAACGGCGACCGCCGUGGGUUUGCUGGAGCCUCCCUUGCCGUGGAAAGUAACUAGCUUCAGGGAGUGCCAGGCUGCCACACAGCCAGAACAAAUGCCACCUUCGGCAGGGAGCGACAACAACAACUAUGAGGAUUUGGCUCGCC